rnacentral:lncRNA from 1 species
CAGAAAACCAUAAGCUCCAUGAGGACAAGAGUCACAUGUCCAUUACAGUCCUAACAUGUUGCUCUGGCAUCUAACCACUCAAGACGUGAUUACUGCAUACAAUAAGUUUAAGGAGGCCUUCCAGGUGGCAGGAUAUUACACUUGUUCCUCCACAACAUCUUUAUAUUCAGCUCAAAUCCUGAUCCUACUACUUAGCAGUUGUGGAAUCAUGGGCAAGGUCCCUAACUGCACAGUGUUCUAGAUGCUGUUCCGGCUGAGGCAGGAGAAUCGCUUGAACCCGGGAGGCAGAGGUUGCAGUGAGCCGAGAUCGUGCCAUUGCACUCCAGCCUGGGCGACAUUAUAAUUUGCAAGACAAGAAAAAUCCAAGUAAAUAAAUAAAUAAGUUUGU